CCUUUGUAAUAGUCGAAGCCGAACUCGACGCC
rnacentral:scRNA from 1 species